rnacentral:rRNA from 1 species
UACAUGUGGGGCAAGCGUUGUUCGGAAUUACUGGGCAUAAAGGGUGCGUAGGUGGCUUGUUAAGUCAGGGGUGAAAGUUUUCGGCCCAACCGGAAAAUGGCCUUUGAUACUGGCGAGCUCGAGUGCGUGAGGGGUAACCGGAACGAGCAGUGUAGCGGUGAAAUGCGUAGAUAUCAGUCGGAACACCGGUGGCGAAGGCGGCUUUUUGGGCCGUUCCUGACGCUGAGGCGCGAAAGCCAGGGGAGCGAACGGG